rfam:Delta proteobacterium ML8_F1 contig_122, whole genome shotgun sequence.
GACCCAUUAGCUCAGUUGGUAGAGCAUCUGACUUUUAAUCAGGUGGUCCCGCGUUCGAGUCGCGGAUGGGUCA